rnacentral:rRNA from 1 species
AUUGAACGCUGGCGGCGUGCUUAACACAUGCAAGUCGAUCGGUAACAGGUGUAGCAAUACAUGCUGACGAGAGGCGGACGGGUGAGUAAUGCUUGGGAAUCUGUCUAUUAGUGGGGGACGAACCCGGGAAACGUCGGGCGUAAUACCGCAUACGCUCUACGGAGGAAAGCCGGGGACCGCAAGCCUGCGCUAAUAGAUGAGCCCAAGUCGGAUUAGCUAGUUGGUAGGGUAACGGCCUACCAAGGCGACAAUCCGUAGCUGGUCUGAGAGGACGACCAGCCACACC